UACGAAGGGUGCAAACGUUGCUCGGAAUUAUUGGGCGUAAAGCGCACGUAGGCGGCUUUGCAAGUCCCAUGUGAAAGCCCACGGCUUAACCGUGGAAGUGCAUGGGAAACUGCAGAGCUUGAGUACUUAAGAGGAUCGCGGAAUUCCCGGUGUAGAGGUGAAAUGCGUAGAUAUCUGGAGGAACACCGGUGGCGAAGGCGGCAUCCUGGACCGGCAUUGACGCUGAGGCGCGAAAGCUAGGGGAGCAAACGGG
rnacentral:rRNA from 1 species